AGCAAGCUUCCCAUACAGCAACAAUGUCACUAAGGUAACUUAUUGCAUUGCUGAGUUAAAUAAAACAACAUCACCAAUACCAACAUCUGGUGUCAGAGUAUAGUGACCACUUUCUAAGGAAUAGACGCACGUAUAUAGGCCAUGGUUACUCAAAUCCCACCCCUCCCUCUAUAGCAAUAAAGACAACUGCAAUCCUUGAGUAUGGCAAGUAAAAAUAUAUCUAGUCACAAGAAGACCACAAAUAUCCGAUGAGUUCCCCCAAAAUAAGAAGAUAAGCCAUGUCCUGCUUUCCCAUGGAAAACAUAUUUCUCGUGCAAUGUGCAUUAUCUAUAAUUUUGUACUCAACAACAGCAUGAUAAAUAUGCUACACAGCACAUUUAUGCAAGAAACUUAAGAAUUCAAAAGAAAAUUGCUCAAACGUGUUCAAGCAAAAAUAGCACUUACAACUCGCAUAGGUAUGCUCUACUCAUUGUGCAAAGCAUAGUUUUCCCCUCUCCCACAGCACUGGGUGGGUGGGUGAAGGUGAAGGGUGGUGACCGUGCAUUAUGUUAACACCAUCUUAUCCUAACAAUUUAGAAAUACCUUGUCUCCCACCAUAAUGAGGUGCAGUGUCCCAAAACUCCUCACGCAUCUUCAUCAGUUGCGUCCUUGUAAUUGCUUCAGGAUGCUUCCAAGGUUUUGGCUUCCUAAUUUUCUUAGAAGAGUCUGUCAGCAACCAUACAAGCAAUAAGUUAUUAUGCGAUUAAAUUGUUCAGCUUCCCUUUUAAAUGAUGCAACGAGUGCACUAAAUGUGUUAGCAGUAGGCAGAGCAAUAUCUAAAACACAAUGCUAAACAGUGUUUCUGAUACCAAUUAUUGGAAAAUUAAUUUCAAGGACUCUACUUGUGGGACAGAUAAUUUCAAGGACUUCACAUAGUGUUAAUGUCUAUAAAUUUCUUA
rnacentral:lncRNA from 1 species